UACGUAGGUGGCAAGCGUUGUCCGGAUUUACUGGGCGUAAAGAGCGCGCAGGCGGUCGUUCAAGUCGCGUGUGAAAGCCCCCGGCUCCAACUGGGGAGGGUCGACGCGAUACUGAUCGACUCGAAGGCAGGAGAGGGAAGUGGAAUUCCCGGUGUAGUGGUGAAAUGCGUAGAUAUCGGGAGGAACACCAGUGGCGAAGGCGACUUCCUGGCCUGUUCUUGACUGCUGACGGCGGCGAAAGCUAGGGGAGCAAACGGG
rnacentral:rRNA from 1 species